AUGAGCUCGGCGGACAUAUUUCUGGCCUAAUUACCAGGGUGCACCCGUAAGCUAAUCGAACGCACCCAUUGUAAACUAUGAUCAAUGCAGGUAACUCUAUGCGCAGUGCAUGUUGCAGUGGGCGUGGUUCAAACUGAAGUGAGUUCACACUCAAGAGCCGGAUAAUUGUUAAUUUGAUUUGCCUGCCAUCACUUGACCAAACACAACUAAAACAUGCAUGACUGGAACUAAAAAUAAACCCAUAUUCACUGUGGUGGAUAAUAAGGUCAGGUAUCGCCCAUGAUUGACUAUAUUUUAUGAGGUAACACGGUUUCAAGGAAGCUCCAUCAGGUUUGGGAGUUAUUUUAUUUUCAUACAUUACAUAUUACAAUAUUGUGGCGGAGUCCUCCCCUAGACUAGCCAAAGUUGUCGUCCGCCUGGGGCAGGCGACUUCCUUCGGGCGAACCUGGGAAGGGGACGUACCCGGAGUAGGGCCUCGGCCGUCCUACGAGCGGUCUAAUAAGAAGGCCGGGGGAGCAGACUCGUUGCCGGGAGGUCUACCACCACUCUCACGCGCUCACCACACACGAACAAAGGGGUUGGAUAGAAAUAACUAACGGAUCAAGCCAAAGGACUCUGGGACAGACCGAUGUACUUAUUUAUUAGACACGUAGGUGCUCCCUAAUUAGGUGUCUGUUCUGCUUCUGGGCAACAUCAACAAUGACCAACAGGGCAGAUUCCUCCUUCUUGCCUCAACUUUAGGGUUCAACUCACCCUGGUACAAGGUUCAGCUCGGCUUCACUCGGUGCAAACCCAGUCACCAGAGCACAAACGCGGAGGUUGGGCUCAAAAAGAGUGGGAAAGUGCGGCACGGCGUCAACAAGGGUGCAACCCGAAAGAGCGCUGGGACGGAAGAGGCAGACCGCACGCAAGCCACGCGGUUAUAGACCCGCGUCGGGUACCAACGCCCAAUGCAAUUUGUACGCAACACGACAAGCUUGAGCAUGGGUACCAGCGUCCAAAAACUUGACUGUCCCGCUAGGCAACUGGCUGCUCAGUAAGUAAAUCGGUCUGAUGAAGAUGUCGUUCAUUUCCACAAUUUCCCACCUCAAUGUUCGAAACAACACAUGCUUCCUGAAAUUGGCCACCAAGGAGGGGCAUUCUGGGAGAAAGGGCAAAGGUCAGAGGUCGAGCAGAAGCAGGAGCAGAAGCCAUGGAGGAAAGAAGCACAGACAAAAAAGCAAAACGAAGGAGACUUAAAGCAGCAGUCUCAUCAUAUCAAGAGACUGGGGAUCCAAGUGAACAUGCUGAACGGGAGAACACCAGAACACCCACCGUGGCUGAUAUGAAAUUGUACCGACAAUUUGAAUAACAUGAAGACUUCUGCCAAGUGACAGUGCUAUUUUAAAAACAUUUCUAACUGGAAAGUAAGCAGACACACAGGCUAAAGUGUUUUGAGGAGUAAUGCAACGUUGCUUAAUGCCCUGUGCCUUUCCUUUAAUACAGACUACUGCUGCAUUACCAAGCACACAAUGGUUAUGGUGUGUGCGCAUGUACAUGUAACUAUGUGAAGAUGGUAGACAAACAUGGCUAACAUGAAUAAGCAAUAAGGACUGAUUACAAAUGCAACUUGAAUGCUAUUAAAUAAAGGAGACAAGUACCUAUAUAUGUACAUGUAUGAUUGUAAAUGCAUGCAGAAGAGAAGUCUUAUCCUUCCAACUUGUCAAAUGUUUUGCUGUAAAUAUACAGUUCUUUACUGUUUUGCUUAGGCACUAUUCAAGACGGCUGGGCACUAUUCAUAGAGUUGCAUACAAUCGAAAGAAGACAAAGUGGGAAAGCUGAAGAUUUGUGAAGAGAUCUACAACAAAUUUAGGAUACAACGAAUGUUUUUACAUGGACCCGGGGAUUUCGUAAUAAUGAGAGUCGACUGUAUUCAAGAAGGCUGAUAUAUCUGAAAAAGGAGGUGCAACUUCUUGUCUGACUUCUUUAGAUUUUUGUGUAAUUCUGACUGCGCGCUAUGCCGAGUCUUGUUUCGCACAGAGAAUUCUUCAUAUGCUGAAUACAUGUAUUUCUAAAGAGAUCUUUGCACUACUAAACUGGGGAUAUGCAUUUGAUUACGGGCUGUACAGGUUGUUGCAAUGUAUGAAUUUUCACCUUCUUUGAAGCAGAGAAAUGUCAACCUUUUUAUUCUACGGAGAUGAAAAUUUAUGGGCCAAAGCAGAUGUCAUCCAUAUAGUACCUUCAUAGCUGUUAACACAAAUGUACAUGUAUAUCAUUUUUCUACAUUUGUUCUUGGAGUUACCGGGUACAAUGUACAUUUAGUGACACUUUUUGAUUAUUAUUUAACCAUGUAUAGCAGCCUGUCUGGACAAUAGAAAUGGCAAAUAUUUCUUCAAAUUUUGUUGGUAGGUAAUUUUUAAGGACAGUCUUCUUGCAUUUUUUUCUUAUACUUUUUUGACAAAAACCUUGUGUGAUAAAAGCAAACUAAUGCCCUGUCAAAAGUAUUGAUAAAAGGAUUUUCGUUGAGUGGAAAAAGUACCGCCUUCUUGUUUAAUAUGUCAAAUGAAAGUAUUUAAAUCUUGCCUGUAUUUUUGUAGCUCAAAAUGAUUUGGGUGAAAAUAAGCUGCGCUGGAUUUUCUCUGCAUGUUUCCUUUAAAGAGAGCUGAAUACAUGUACUAUUUAAGAGAGCUGCACACUAGCUGUAUAUAUUGAGGAGGCGUAUGAACUGUUAGCAUACACAUACAUGUACCAUGCAGUCAAGCAAAGGUGUAUGGGUAAUUCCAGACAU